rnacentral:rRNA from 1 species
GACGAACGCUGGCGGCGUGCCUAAUACAUGCAAGUCGACCUUGGUGGCGAACGGGGGAGAAACACGUCGGUAACCUGCCCCUAAGAAGGGGAUAAAACUUGGAAACAGGUGCUAAUUCUGUAAAUGGAAGGAUGGACUCGCGGUGCAUUAGCUAGUGGGUGAGGUAACGGCUCACCAAGUCCACGAUGCAUAGCCGACCUGAGAGUGUGAUCGGCCACAUUGGGACUGGGACACGGCCCAAACUCCUACGGGAGGCAGCAGUAGGGAAUCUUCGGCAAUGGACGAAAGUCUGACCGAGCAACGCCGCGUGAGUGAAGAAGGUCUUCGGAUCGUAAAACACUUUUGUUAGAGAAGCGGUAUCUAACCAGAAAGCCACGGCUAACUACGUGCCAGCAGCCGCGGUAAUAC